GAGCCCGUUGGUCAAGCGGUUAAGACACCGCCCUUUCACGGCGGUAACACGGGUUCGAAUCCCGUACGGGUCA
rnacentral:tRNA from 1 species